rnacentral:sRNA from 1 species
CGUUAAAUCAAGGUUGACACUAGAUUUGGAUGCACUUCACAUUUUUGUUGGAUCUAUUCACUUUAAAAACUCAAAAUUUUGCAAAUAUUGGUGUAACAUGUGGACGGUGGAAGAGACUAACCGAGCAAUAAAUAUUAGGAGGGGCCAUAGAUUGACCAAAGCGAUUAUAUAAUGUAAGUCAUAAGUCAGAACAAAGACUAAUGUAAAGGCGACAAAUAUAUUAGGGGUUGUUGGUGGUUGCACCUGAGAUGGGUUUAUGAGGGAAUCAUCAUCUACUUUGUCUCACUCUGAUUCAGACACUUAUCUAUCAUCUCAUGUGGGUCGGUCUUUGGGCUUUUAAUUAUGAGGACGACACCAAAAGUGUGUGUUCAGUUUACGUUAAACCCAGUAUUUAUCUGUGGUAUGAUUCAGCUUAUAAACACAACUUAUUACCAAAAGCUAGGAAGUAAUUAAGUAUUUUUGUAUUUCACAUCUUCCACAAGUUGAUCUCUAGUUUGUUUCCUAGCCUAUACUACACUGGUGAAGCAGCUAGAAAUGUGCUCUUAGAUUUGCAAACACUUGUAAAAUUAUGAGAUUUCCUCUGUUUCUUCUCAUUUGUUUUUUAGUUGUAACGCUUCGAUCAAGAAACCCUUAUAAGAAAGACACAUUCUAUCAAGCAGCUGGGCUUUUACAGUGGAUGCAGUAAGUAAUCAAUCUAAAGAGAUCC